rnacentral:misc_RNA from 1 species
UUUCCGUAGGUGAACCUGCGGAAGGAUCAUUAUUGUGAACCGGGGCGGCGAGAGCCGUCCCAAAUCCCAAACCACCGUGAACAACCCGUCGCCGGCGCGAGCCGGGGGCAACCUUUGCACCUGUCGUACUACGUCCAGAAAGCAUAAACAAAAGAGUACAACUCUCAACGAUGGAUCUCUUGGCUCUCGCAUCGAUGAAGAACGCAGC